CCCUGAUUUAGGCAGAUAUCUCUGUCUGACCCCCAACUUCCCUCUGUAGAUAUAUAGAUAUAUAUAUAAAUAUGAAUACGAAGAUAAGUAUGUUUUACAGCACAGCAUCUGACCUGUAGAUGGAGGGUUUGUUGGUUGCUUAUUUUCCCCUCUUGCAAGUGCUACCCAUGUGAGUGUGUGAAGUUUCUCCACUAAGCAAAACACGGGCCCUUUUCCUUGUUUGUUUUGUGUUAGCUUAUUGUAAACAGCCAUUUGUUGUAAAUUAUUAUUGGCAUUAAAUUAUAAUUUAUGAUUUUCAAAGCAAAAGACAGUCCCUGUUUCAUUAUGCCUUUAAGUAUGUGUUCUAGG
rnacentral:lncRNA from 1 species